GACGAACGCUGGCGGCGUGCUUAACACAUGCAAGUCGAACGGAAAGGCCCUGCUUUUGUGGGGUGCUCGAGUGGCGAACGGGUGAGUAACACGUGAGUAACCUGCCCUUGACUUUGGGAUAACUUCAGGAAACUGGGGCUAAUACCGGAUAGGAGCUCCUGCUGCAUGGUGGGGGUUGGAAAGUUUCGGCGGUUGGGGAUGGACUCGCGGCUUAUCAGCUUGUUGGUGGGGUAGUGGCUUACCAAGGCUUUGACGGGUAGCCGGCCUGAGAGGGUGACCGGCCACAUUGGGACUGAGAUACGGCCCAGACUCCUACGGGAGGCAGCAGUGGGGAAUAUUGCACAAUGGGCGGAAGCCUGAUGCAGAAACGCCGCGUGCGGAUGACGGCCUUCGGGUUGUAAACCGCUUUCGCCUGUGACGAAGCGUGAGUGACGGUAAUGGGUAAAGAAGCACCGGCUAACUACGUG
rnacentral:rRNA from 1 species